AUGGAUGCUGUGAGUGCUUCACAUGGCGUCUUGGGUCCCCUGCUGGGGAAGCUCACCAGUUUGCUCGCCGGUGAGUGUGCCCGCCUCAAAGGCGUCCGGCGUGAGAUCCGCUCGCUCAAAUCUGAGCUGAGCGGCGUGCAUGCUGCCGUCCACAAGUACACGACACUACAAGAUCCUGAUGUCCAGGUGAAGGCGUGGAUAUCGUUGUUGAGGGAGCUGGCCUAUGACAUCGAGGAUGUCAUCGACAAGUUCAUCCACCAACUCGGUACUAGCGGCCACCACCAGGGUGGUUUCAAGGAGUUUUUUCGUAAGACUGCUCGUCGUCUCAAGACGAUAGGCUCUCGUCGUGGACUUGCCAGCCAAAUCGACGAUCUGAAGAUUCGUCUCAAGGAGGUAAAAGAGUUGAAGACUAGUUACAAGCUGGAUGAUAUUCCCUGUGAACAUUCAACUGUGGAUCCCCGCUUGUCUGCUAUUUUUGUUGAUGAAGCACACCUUGUGGGCAUUGAUGGUCCCAGAGAUGAUCUUAUCAAUUGGAUGCUGGAAGAUGAAAGUAACUCGGCCAAGCAGCGCAAGGUGUUGUCCGUUGUUGGCUUUGGUGGUUUGGGGAAAACGACACUGGCGAGGGAGGUCUACCGCAAGAUCCAAGGACAUUUCCAUUGUUGGGCUUUUGUCUCUGUCUCACAAAGGCCUAAUGUAAAGAAAAUUAUGAAGGAUUUGAUCUCCCAGAUGCCUUGCAAGAAAGAUUUUAGAGAAGGUAUCGACACCUGGGAUGAUGUGAAACGUAUUGCGAAGCUAAAAGCGCUCUUAAAAGAUAAGAGGUAUCUCAUCGUUAUUGAUGAUAUAUGGUCCAUAUCAGCAUGGGACGCUAUUAAGUAUGCUUUCCCAGAGAAUGAUUUUUGUAGCAGAAUUAUUGCUACUACACGCAAUGUUGAUGUAGCAAGAUCUUGUUGUCAAGGUGGUAAUGGUCGCAUGUAUGAAAUGGAAGCCCUGAGUGAUCUCAACUCCAAAAGAUUGUUUUUCAAAAGAAUAUUUGGUUCCGAAGACUGUUGCCCUGAUGUGCUAAAACAAAUUUCAAAUAAUAUAUUGAAGAAAUGUGGAGGCCUCCCAUUGGCAAUUAUCAGCAUAUCAAGUUUAUUGGCAAACAGACCGGUGAUCAAAGAUGAGUGGGAGAGGGUGAGAAGGUCUAUUGGUUCUGCAUUGGACAAAAACCAAAGCUUAGAAGGAAUGAAUAGCAUAUUAUCCCUUAGCUACAAUGACCUUCCACCGCAUCUAAAGACCUGCUUGUUAUAUUUAUGUACAUAUCCCGAGGACUAUGUGAUUGAGAGAGAUAUUUUAGUGAGGCGAUGGAUAGCCGAAGGCUUUAUCUCUGAAGAACGUGGACAUACAAAACAAGUGGUCGCCGAGAACCAUUUCUAUGAGCUAAUAAACAAAAGUAUGGUUCAACCGCUGGAAGUUGGCUAUGAUGGAAAGGCUCGUGCUUGCAAAGUCCAUGACAUGAUGCUCGAGCUCAUUAUUUCAAAAUCGGUUGAAGAUAAUUUCAUCUCUUUGGCAGGCCAUGACCAAACUUAUUUGGCAAAUCGUCAUGGUCUUAUUCGGCGACUAUCUGUCCAGCAUAUUGACCAAGAGCUUGCAUCAAUAUUGGCAAAUGAAGAUCUAAGUCAUGUACGAUCUGUGACAGUGAUAUCAUUACCUUGCAUAAAACACUUGCCUAGGCUUGUUCAUUUUGAAGCUUUGCGUGUCCUAGAAUUUCAAGAUUGUCAGAAUCUGCAUGAGUAUGAUAUGAAUGGCAUAGAUAAACUAUUCCAGCUGAAGUACCUUAGCUUUAGGGGUACUGACAUGUCAAAGCUACCAUCAGGAAUUGUGAGGCUAUAUGAUCUAGAGACGCUAGAUCUUAGAAAUACACAUAUAGAAGAAUUGCCCACUGGAAUUAUUCAGCUUGUUAAGCUACAAUAUUUACUCAUUGCAAGAUAUUGCCCUUCUGGUGAUCCUUACGGUGAAACAAAGAUACCAUAUGGGAUUGGAGAUAUGAGGAAUUUACAGGUUAUCUCGGGCAUUAAUAUUUUCAAGAGUUCAUUAUGUGCAGUCGAGGAGCUAGGGAGCCUGACCGGGUUGAAAGAACUCUAUCUACAGUUGGAAGGGGGAGGAUCUCAAGAAUAUAAGAGGCACGAAGAGAUGUUACUCUCCUCACUAUGCAAGCUUGGCACCUGCAAACUUCAGUCUUUAUGUAUAAUCUCUUGUGAUUCAACGCCCCUUCAGUUCUUAAAUUCCUGGUCCCCUCUGCCGGAUAACCUCCAAAUAUUUUCGAUGUGCAGUAACUACUAUUUACCAAAGAUGCCAAAGUGGAUUGUACGAGCACUCACCAGUCUUGCACACCUGGAUAUAAAUUUGGUUGAAGCAACAGAUGAGGAUCUGCGGAUACUUGGAGAGAUGCCUAGUUUACUUUGCCUGAGUAUAACAUUCAAGACUGUCCAAAAAGAAAGGCUUACCAUACAAGGCGUUGCAUUCCAGUGUCUGAGGGAAUUUUUCAUUAUUCGUUCUGCCUCGUGUGCAAGUGCAAUUUACUUGACGUUUGAAGAAGGGGCACUGCCAAAGCUGGACAAGCUUAGGCUGCCGUUGUUUGUUUCACUUGCAGAAGCGUAUGGGUUCUACUUGGGUCUUGGCCACCUCCCCUGUCUGAGAGCUGUCGAAGUUACUAUCUACAAUGGCAUAUUGUUCAAAAGCACCUCUGCAGCAAUUGUCGCUAUACAGAAAGAGGCAAAGAGCCACCCCAACCAUCCCAGAUUAACUAUCAGGAGUGAGGGAACUACACGGAGGAAGAGAGCUACCAAUGGAAGAGGUAUUAAUCAUAAUCAACAAUUUCGUACAACACUUUCAGUAGGCAACCUUUCUCACGCUCUGAUGCCACAUGUUUUCCCUUCAUCUAUUCAGGGGGUCUUCUAUGAAAUGCAAGCACGUGAUGGCGUGCUGCUGGCUUGA
rnacentral:rRNA from 1 species